AUUGAACGCUGGCGGCAGGCUUAACACAUGCAAGUCGAACGAGUGGCGGACGGGUGAGUAAUGCUUGGGAAUCUAUAUUAUGGAGGGGGAUAACUACGGGAAACGGUAGCUAAUACCGCGUACCAUAGGAUGAGCCCAAGUGGGAGUAGGUAGUUGGUGAAGUAAAGGCUCACCAAGCAGACGAUCUCUAGCGGGUCUGAGAGGAUGACCAGCCACACCGGUACUGAUACACGGCCCAGACUCCUACGGGAGGCAGCAGUGUUGAAUAUUGCACAAUGGGCGCAAGCCUGUUGCAGCCAUGCCGCGUGUAUGAAGAAGGCCUUAGGGUUGUAAAGUACUUUCAGCGGGGAGGCGUUACCCGCAGAAGAAGCACCGGCUAACUCCGUGCCAGCAGCCGCGGUAAUAC
rnacentral:rRNA from 1 species